rnacentral:misc_RNA from 1 species
GGACGCCGAAGGUGGGGCUAAUGACUGGGGUGAAGUCGUAACAAGGUAGCCGUACCGGAAGGUGCGGCUGGAUCACCUCCUAACAGGGAGACAACAAAAUGUUUAAUAUUAUUAUUUUGUCACCUUAGGUCGAUCGGUAUCUCACGUUUUUAAUUUAUUAAGAAUUUCAUUUCCUAAGUUUUUCUAGGUCACACCCAUUAUUUUUCCUGGGCCAUUAGCUCAGGUGGUUAGAGCGCACCCCUGAUAAGGGUGAGGUCCCUGGUUCAAGUCCAGGAUGGCCCAUAUCUCUAUGUUGGGGGUAUAGCUCAGUUGGUAGAGCGCCUGCUUUGCAAGCAGGAUGUCAGCGGUUCGAGUCCGCUUACCUCCACUGAUUACCACCUCUUCCAUAACCGGUAGUAAGGGAAUUUUUUGAGUUGUGAUCAAAUUCUGAAAGAAUCUAGCUUCCUAAUGAAAUCAUUAAGAUGCUGGACUCAUUGAAUUAAUUUCAUUGUUUUCAGAGAACCUUGACAACUGCAUAGAUUAUUUUUAAAGACAAUAAGCAUCUUUUAAUGAUGCAGAUUUAUUAUUUGUGCGAAUGCAUUAAUAACAAUUCUAUUAAGCUGAUGCUUCAAUUUUUGAAGUUAUUGGUCAAGCUACAAAGGGCUCACGGAGGA